ACUACGGGAGGCAGCAGUGGGGAAUAUUGCACAAUGGGGGAAACCCUGAUGCAGCGACGCCGCGGGAGUGAAGAAGUAUUUCGGUACGUAAAGCUCUAUCAGCAGGGAAGAAAAUGACGGUACCUGACUAAGAAGCCCCGGCUAACUACGUGCCAGCAGCCACGGUAAUACGUAGGGGACAAGCGUAAUCCGGGUUUACUGGGUGUAAAGGGAGCGGAGACGGCAGCGCAAGUCUGGAGUGCAAUCCCAUGGCUUAACCAUGGAACUGCUGUGGAAACUGUGCAGCUCGAGUGCAGGAGAGGUAAGCGGAAUUCCUAGUGUAGCGGUGAAAUGCGUAGAUAUUAGGAGGAACACCAGUGGCGAAGGCGGCUUACUGGACUGUAACUGACGUUGAGGCUCGAAAGCGUGGGGAGCAAACAGGAUUAGAUACCCCAGUAGUC
rnacentral:rRNA from 1 species